UACAGAGGUGGCAAGCGUUGUUCGGAAUCACUGGGCUUAAAGGGCGCGUAGGCGGACUCCCAAGUCUGUGGUGAAAUCCCCCGGCUCAACCGGGGAGGGUCGUCGGGGACUGGGACGCUUGAGGGCGGUAGGGGCCGGUGGAAUUCCCGGUGUAGUGGUGAAAUGCGUAGAGAUCGGGAGGAACACCAGUAGCGAAGGCGGCCGGCUGGGCCGACCCUGACGCUGAGGCGCGAAGGCGUGGGGAGCGAACGGG
rnacentral:rRNA from 1 species